GAGUAAACGUGGCGUCGAAGUCGAACGAAACAAAUACGUCGAAAACAUUCUGCACCACAACCACAAUGAAUAUUCAAGACUCCCAUGUCCCAGAACUCGAAGAAUCACAAUUCAUCCAAUGUUCUUAUACUGCUGCGAGUGAAAGGGGCACUAAUGAUGAUAUUUAUGACUUGAUCGAUGCACAGAAUGAGCCACUGAGACCAAGAUGCAGUCCUUGAGAGAGCACAACCCAUGCGAU